CGCGCAGUCCGCGCCGGCCUGACGCUAGAGCCCUUUCCCGGUGGCCGGCCUUCUUUACCUGUGUGGUCUCCACGUCUGCGCCACCACGGGACGAGAGGUCAACGGAGGGCCCUGCGGUCCAGAUGCCAACUGGACCCACGGAGGCAUGGUGGCUAGAGCCAGGACCCCAGCCUAAGUGACACGGACAGGAUCUGAUGCUCCCGAGACCACAAGAUCCGGCACCGAAAUGUGAAAUCGA
rnacentral:lncRNA from 1 species